GGGGGAUUAGCUCAGCUGGGAGAGCGCUUGCAUGGCAUGCAAGAGGUCAAGGGUUCAAAUCCCUUAUCCUCCAC
rnacentral:tRNA from 1 species